rnacentral:rRNA from 1 species
AUCCAACCUGCCCACCACUUGGGGAUAACCUUGCGAAAGUAAGACUAAUACCCAAUGAUAUCUCUAGAAGACAUCUGAAAGAGAUUAAAGAUUUAUCGGUGAUGGAUGGGGAUGCGUCUGAUUAGCUUGUUGGCGGGGUAACGGCCCACCAAGGCAACGAUCAGUAGGGGUUCUGAGAGGAAGGUCCCCCACAUUGGAACUGAGACACGGUCCAAACUCCUACGGGAGGCAGCAGUGAGGAAUAUUGGUCAAUGGACGAGAGUCUGAACCAGCCAAGUAGCGUGCAGGAUGACGGCCCUAUGGGUUGUAAACUGCUUUUAUAAGGGAAUAAAGUGAGUCUCGUGAAACUUUUUGCAUGUACCUUAUGAAUAAGGACCGGCUAAUUCCGUGCCAGCAGCCGCGGUAAUACGGAAGGUCCGGGCGUUAUCCGGAUUUAUUGGGUUUAAAGGGAGCGUAGGCCGGAGAUUAAGCGUGUUGUGAAAUGUAGACGCUCAACGUCUGCACUGCAGCGCGAACUGGUUUCCUUGAGUACGCACAAAGUGGGCGGAAUUCGUGGUGUAGCGGUGUAAUGCUUAGAUAUCACGAAGAACUCCGAUUGCGAGGGCAGCUCACUGGAGCGCAACU